rnacentral:rRNA from 1 species
UACGUAGGGUGCAAGCGUUGUCCGGAAUUAUUGGGCGUAAAGAGCUCGUAGGCGGUUUGUCGCGUCUGCUGUGAAAGGCCGGGGCUCAACUCCGGUUCUGCAGUGGGUACGGGCAGACUAGAGUGCAGUAGGGGAGACUGGAAUUCCUGGUGUAGCGGUGAAAUGCGCAGAUAUCAGGAGGAACACCGAUGGCGAAGGCAGGUCUCUGGGCUGUAACUGACGCUGAGGAGCGAAAGCAUGGGGAGCGAACAGG